rnacentral:sRNA from 1 species
AAUAAUAAAAUCCCGUAUUGAAUAAAAACACGGGAUUGUUAUAAAUAAGUUAUUCACUUAUUCGAAAGAAGUUCAUUCGUUACAUAUUACUUAUUUAAUUAAGAAACAU